rnacentral:misc_RNA from 1 species
AAACUGCGAUACGUAGUGUGAAUUGCAGAAUUCAGUGAAUCAUCGAAUCUUUGAACGCAAAUUGCGCUGCUGGGCAUUCUUGGCAGCAUACUUGGCUGAGUAUCAUCUGGAUUUAUCACAAGCAAUUUUGUUUGUGGACAUGAGGUUUGUCACAUUGUAUAUUAACUAUACAGUGCGUCCCUUUAAAUUCAGUUUGAGGUGAAAAAGAAGGGCUUCUAGUCUUUUUUUUUGUUCUUUUUGCACCCACUAGUGUGUCAAUUGUCCCCUUUGUGGGCAUCAAGCACUAUGUCGGGAAGCAUUCGGACAAAAAAAGUUAUAAGGCUUUAAUGCUAUUUUCUUCUUUUUUUACUUUUCUUAACAACUUAAUUCUUAACGAAAUUUUGAUCUCAGCUCAAGUAAG